CAAUAGCGUAUAUUAAAGUUGUUGCAGUUAAAAAGCUCGUAGUUGGAUUUCUGGGAGGGUGCCGCCGUCCGGCGUGUCCGUGUGCAGUGGCGCCCUUCCAUCCUUCUGUUAGCGUCUCUUGGCAUUCAUUUGCUGGUGGCGGGCUCAGAUAUUUUACCUUGAGAAAAUUAGAGUGUUUCAGGCAGGCUAGGCCGGAAUACAUUAGCAUGGAAUAAUGGAAUAGGACUACGGUCUCUUUGUUGGUUUGAGGGACUGCAGUAAUGAUUAAUAGGGAUAGUUGGGUGCAUUAGUAUUUAAUUGUCAGAGGUGGAAUUCUCAGAUUUGUUAAAGACUAACUUAUGCGAAAGCAUUUGCCAAGGAUGUUUUCAUUAA
rnacentral:rRNA from 1 species